rnacentral:rRNA from 1 species
GUAGGGAAUCUUGCGCAAUGGGCGAAAGCCUGACGCAGCCAUGCCGCGUGAAUGAUGAAGGUCUUAGGAUUGUAAAAUUCUUUCACCGGGGACGAUAAUGACGGUACCCGGAGAAGAAGCCCCGGCUAACUUCGUGCCAGCAGCCGCGGUAAUACGAAGGGGGCUAGCGUUGCUCGGAAUUACUGGGCGUAAAGGGCGCGUAGGCGGACAGUUUAGUCAGAGGUGAAAGCCCAGGGCUCAACCUUGGAAUUGCCUUUGAUACUGGCUGUCUUGAGUACGGGAGAGGUGAGUGGAACUCCGAGUGUAGAGGUGAAAUUCGUAGAUAUUCGGAAGAACACCAGUGGCGAAGGCGACUCACUGGCCCGUUACUGACGCUGAGGCGCGAAAGCGUGGGGAGCAAACAGGAUUAGAAACCCCGGUAGUCC